CCUCAGGGCCCCGCCCCGCCGCCCGCUCGCCCCGGGCGGGAGGUGGCGCGGAGGCAGCGCCGAGCUUUGCCGUGCCCUGCUGGAGAAGCCCGUUUUAGCUAACGAGCCAUGAGGUGAAUAAAAGAAAUCCUCGAGAUUUGUUUUUUUUAAAAAAAGAAAAAAAAAAGGUCUGCGUAACGCUGCUGUUUAGAUCGGGUGUGUCUUUGCUGCGCCGCUGAAGGGCAGGUGCUUCUGCUCGGGCCGCGAGGGGUUCCCGCCUGACGGCCUCCAGUCCAGGGCGCCUUGGGGAAUCGCGGAAUUUGGUGAAAACUGGCAGAGGGAUAAACAGCCAUGACUGACACGAGGAGGAGGCUUUCCGCGGCGGCGGCGUUGCCUUCCGAGGGCGCUCAGCGCAGGAAGGAAGUCGCGUCUUGUGUGGGGAGCUGACCUGGUGUGACAGCCACGCCGGAGAGCCUGAGAGCACCGGCAGCGAGAGCAGUAACGUGCAAAAGCCUGGUUUGAAAUCAGUGGAAAGACUUUCCAUUUUCUCCACAAAAAAACUUAAAAGCAACAGCAGCAUGUUAAUAAGGGAGCAUAUUAGCAUUUCUAGUGAACGUCGGAGGUCACUCUCAAAUCACCAUUCGGUGGUGUUCCUGAGUGAUCUGUCUUUAUACACUUUCCCAUUUUAAGGGUCUGGUUCCAUGAUAUUUUUGCACAUGGUCUGAAUCCGUCCUGCCUUUCACAGGGCCCCGUGAAUCACGCGGGAGUCCCUACCCGCCGGCCUUCCCAACCAGGAGAGGACAACAGGAAGAGCUGUGAGAGGAAAACUAUAAAUAAAGUGGGAUGUUUUAGUUCGAGUUCUGUAGUUGUGUUUCUACAAGCCUGAGCUAAGCUUCUCCAAGUACUGAGCAGACUGCGAGCUAGAAAACAGCUUCAUUUCGGGGGUGGAUUCUGCAGCUUUCCUUCGUCUUUGCAGUCUUUCAGUGCUCACCGUGGAGGAGAUACAGGAAAACAGCUUUCCGUAUAGCUAGCCCGGUUUGUCCAUGCUGAAUGACAGCAAAGCAUCACCAGUCCUCUAGGGACAGAGAGAGAACAGAGACAUUUGCAUUGCCUACGUAUUUUCUGCUCUCGUCCUAACUGGACCCUGACAGAGGCACUGGACUUGCCCAGGUCAUGGACAGAAGAAUCCAUGUAAAAGGAUUUUAGUGGUAUUUGAAGGAUGAUAGGAGCUCUUACAAAUGCAAGCGUGUGGACACCUUGGGGCCUAGAAGAUACCAGAUGAAGACUAAAGCUAGAAGGAAGAGCUACAAAAUUUCUUCAGGACUCUCAAAUAUACCAGGAGCACGAAGCAUUCCCGUGCAUCAUAUGCAGCAACAGUACGGGGACACCCUUGGCUGGACUCCGUUUGCUGUGAAUAAAGAAUUUUUGCAGAUUUGGAGUGUCACUGCUGGGCCAGCAUCCAGUGAAAGGGUUACCUACAAAUGUCCACAGCUAGUAUCAGAGGAAAGGCUAUAGCUCCUCCCACCGCUUUCGCCCAUUUUUUCUCCCUUUCAGCUUUCCUGGGUUCUUGUUCCUUAGGACCAGGUAUGAACCAGAAAUUCCCCUGUCAAAUACCUUCUUUUGGGGGCAGCUUGCAGACAAAAUUUAAGAUUAGCAGCAAGCACCCCUCCACACACCGCUCUCUUAGUGUGGGUCUGUGCUCCCAAGACACUAACACCAGCCCUAGGCCAGUCGCUCCAUCCCCCCAGCAGACUCCCUGUCCCCAGGAAAGCUGCCGAGGAGAGCUCCAGCUCUCGCACAGGAAGGCUGCGAGAAGGGGAAGAUUUACAGCAAGAGAUGUUUUUCCUAAUUUCUGUGACUAAUAUAACAGUUUACAAGCAAUUUCUUUUGGAGAUCUCUCCUGAUUGAUGAGCAAACCUGCAUAGUAAGAGCAGCAGUUAUGGCGGAGGUGCUUGAGGGGGAGGAGAGCUGCCAGAACAGCCACCUGAAGGUGCUGAGCUCCAGUCAACUGCUGUCACUCUGUUCUCAGAUUAAUUCACCAUCAGUGAUCCAAUGGUUAAUGCAGUCAUUGUGGGUAUGUCUGCUAAAAGCUCAACCCUUCACAAUGUUACAGAAAUAAGAUCUUCUAGGGGAUGAUGUAUUUUGGCUUUUUUUUCUUUAAAUACCUUCAGAUUAAUGUUCUCCAUAUGCAUAUAAAACAGUAUGCACUAUAUGCUCUUUGCCAAUGCCUAAAAUGUUGAUAAAACCAGGGAAACCUAUUGUUCUGACUAGGGCACAGGACUGAGGGGCAGCACUUGCACUCUCGUCUUCAUGUCUCUCUCAUUUUUAUGCAAGAUGUUUAGCAAAUCCCCUUUUCUUAGUGUUGCUCUCUUAUUCCAUUAGGAAACUUGGAAUAGUAAAUAAUUGCUGCCAAAAGUUGAAUUCA